rnacentral:rRNA from 1 species
GACGAACGCUGGCGGCGUGCUUAACACAUGCAAGUCGAACGGUGAUGCUCCAGCUUGCUGGAGUGGAUCAGUGGCGAACGGGUGAGUAACACGUGAGCAACCUGCCCCUGACUCUGGAAUAAGCGCUGGAAACGGCGUCUAAUACUGGAUACGAAACUGGCCCGCAUGGGCAUGGUUUGGAAAGUUUUUCGGUUUGGGAUGGGCUCGCGGCCUAUCAGCUUGUUGGUGAGGUAAUGGCUCACCAAGGCGACGACGGGUAGCCGGCCUGAGAGGGGGACCGGCCACACUGGGACUGAGACACGGCCCAGACUCCUACGGGAGGCAGCAGUGGGGAAUAUUGCACAAUGGGCGAAAGCCUGAUGCAGCGACGCCGCGUGAGGGAUGACGGCCUUCGGGUUGUAAACCUCUUUCAGCAGGGAAGAAGCGAAAGUGACGGUACCUGCAGAAGAAGCACCGGCUAACUACGUG